rnacentral:tRNA from 1 species
CCUCUCUUAGCUCAGUCGGUAGAGCAGUGGACUGUAGUUCCAAUGGUCACUAGUUCGAUUCUAGUAGAGAGGA